UACGUAGGGAGCAAGCGUUGUCCGGAAUCAUUGGGCGUAAAGCGCGCGUAGGCGGCCCCGUAAGUCCGCUGUGAAAGUCAAAGGCUCAACCUUUGAAAGCCGGUGGAUACUGUGGGGCUAGAGUCCGGAAGAGGCGGGUGGAAUUCCGGGUGUAGCGGUGGAAUGCGUAGAGAUCCGGGAGAACACCGGUGGCGAAGGCGGCCCGCUGGGCAACUGCUGACACUGAUGCGCGACAGCGUGGGGAGCAAACAGG
rnacentral:rRNA from 1 species